UGGACUUUGUCUCAAAUAAAUUAAUUUAAUUUGAGGAUUUUUCUAGAAAACAGAGGGUUAUCAGAUAUCAAGAGACUGAGCAGAAGUUCCACAAAAUUUUCUCUGUGAUUUGAAAAAAUUUGGAGGAUCAAAGUGAGAUUAUUCUGCAUAAUGUUAAAUCACAGAAUGGUUACAACAGAUAAGAGAGGAAGAGCCAUAAUAGAGAGCCAGAUCAUAUCUUCCUUGACUACCAUUCCUAAUAUGCUGCACAGGUUCCUGCGUGAAAAAUCAGGAGCCAAAACAUCAAUCUACUGGAAGACACCCUUACCACAUAUUAAGCUAUACUAUUUUAUAAUCACUUUGAGCAAAUAAAACAUUUCCAGCUUUCAGCUAUGGAAGCAAAAUGAAAAAUACAGUAAUCUUUUUUCAGGGCGGCAUCCUGUGAGAUUAAAUAAUCCAUAGAAGUAAGAUGUACAC